UUCAGAGUACUUCUGACUUCCUUCCAGGCUUUCUGAGAGUGUGUUGGUGAUUUAGAGAUGGGCAAGAUUUUGGCUCGUAAUGGGGAGCAAAGAGAAAAGGAAAAGUGGGUUGAUCUUAUUGGAGAUAUUGCUGGAUGCAUUUCAAUUAAGAGACCAAAGGAGGUUCAACAUAUUUGCAUAAUUCUAACGAAAGCACUAAACCGUCCACAAAGAUUCCAAAGGGAAGCUGCUGCCGCUGCAUUGUCAGAGUU